ensembl:lncRNA
GAGACACCACUUGUUUGUUCCUUUGGUAUCUUGGUUUAGUUGUAUCCUAGUUUUACAAGGAAGACGAUCGAUGGCGGGCGUCUGCGGGGAAAGAUGUUCUCUCCGGACCGUCGGUUCUCUGUGUCCGGAAUGAUCCAGAUCUUGUUAGCUAAUGACACUAUGGACGGGCGGCUGACGGACGCGUGCCCCGGCGUCGUCUCUGGUUCAGUCUCAGAGCUCUCUCCUGACACGACGGCGGACGCACGACACACGCAUCAUUUGGUUCCCCAGCUGAGGACCAGCAACCGCAAAAGCUCUGACACCUUUUGGCUUAAGCCGGGACCUGGAGACAUGGAGGAUACUUUUGGCUGGAGGAUCUGAAGUAGACCUGAAGCGGAGACGUCGUUGCAUCGGCCAUCUUGAGAGGCUCCUUGUGUGUGCUUGAACGUCAUAAGUUCGACCUCAAAAUGUCCGUCUGGUAUUUAAAGUUGACGUCCACAAUUAAUGGUGUGCCGGGUGAGGAGAGGAUGACUUUAGGCUCAACAAGAAAGUACUGCUUUUUGUUUUUCAUUUGAUUUGAUUAUUAUAUUUUUCCAAUAGAUCGAUGAAUGAUAAUUCUGAUGGAUGGUGAUCUAAUCGUAGAAUGGUAAAAGGAGUAUAUGGUUCACACUAAAACAACAUAACCAAGGCUAAGGUGUGUUGUAGUUUUUCUACACACAUGUUCGGUAAUUCCAGAUGAUUGCCUAUAAGGGCACUAAGUGUAUGCCCUUGUGAAACAAACAAGGGCCUCUGAAUAUUAAUUAGCAAUGUCCUCCACCCCCAUCUAGCGUGGGGGUUCAGGAGUUAAAGGUGACCACAAAAUGAAUCUCUCAUUCAUUCAUUUAUCCUCCCAUUUAUUAUCGCAUGCAUAAAGAGUUCUUUCAUUCACCUUGCAUA